AUUGAACGCUGGCGGCAGGCUUAACACAUGCAAGUCGAACGAGUGGCGGACGGGUGAGUAAUGCUUGGGAAUCUAGCUUAUGGAGGGGGAUAACUACGGGAAACUGUAGCUAAUACCGCGUACCAUAGGAUGAGCCCAAGGGGGAUUAGGUAGUUGGUGAGGUAAAGGCUCACCAAGACGACGAUCUCUAGCUGGUCUGACAGGAUGACCAGCCACACUGGGAGCGGUACACGGCCCAGAAUCCUACGAGACGCAGCAGUGGGGAAUAUUGCGCAAUGGGGGCAACCUGACGCAGCCAUGCCGCGUGAAUAAAGAAGGCCUUCGGGUUGUAAAGUGCUUUCGGUGGCGAAGCGUUAACCACAGAAGAAGCACCGGCUAACUCCGUGCCAGCAGCCGCGGUAAUUC
rnacentral:rRNA from 1 species